rnacentral:rRNA from 1 species
UACGGGGGGAGCAAGCGUUGUUCGGAUUUACUGGGCGUAAAGGGCGCGUAGGCGGCCUGUGCAAGUCAGUUGUGAAAUCUCCGAGCUUAACUCGGAACGGUCAAUUGAUACUGCUGUGCUAGAGUGCAGAAAGGGCAAUCGGAAUUCUUGGUGUAGCGGUGAAAUGCGUAGAUAUCAAGAGGAACACCUGAGGCGAAGGCGGGUUGCUAGGCUGACACUGACGCUGAGGCGCGAAAGCUAGGGUAGCAAACGGG